CUGGGGUUCCCUUCCACACUGCGGAAGCUUUGUUCUUUCGCUCUUUGCAAUAAAUCUUGCUACUGCUCACUCUUUGGGUCCACGCUGCUUUUAUGAGCUGUAACACUCACCGCGAAGAUCUGCAGCUUCACUCCUGAGCCCAGGGAGACCACGAGCCCACCGGGAGGAACGAACAACCCCAGACGCGCGGCCUUAAGAGCUGUAACACUCACCGCGAAGGUCUGCAGCUUCACUCCUGAGCCAGCGAGACCACGAACCCACCAGAAGGAAGAAACUCCGAACACAUCUGAACAUCAGAAGGGACAGACUCCAGACGCGCCACCUUAAGAGCUGUAACACUCACGGCGAGGGUCCGCGGCUUCAUUCUUGAAGUCAGUGAGACCAAGAACCCACCAAUUCUGGACACACAAUGAGAUAAUAACAUAAGUUUGAAAACUGCAAUUGGGCCUACUAAGGAACCAUGAUAGUGUUUGGUACAUAGAGGACACUGGAAAUGGUUUUCUUAACUGAACAAGUGACUAGAAUAAAGGAAUUAAUGAACGACAUCAGAGCUGAAAUCCCAAACCAUAAAUCAUAAAAGGAUCAGACAGCAAAGAGUACUCAAAAGCUGAUUUAUUGAGAUCCUGAUGAGUUUGAAGUAACUAGAAACUUGAUCAAACAGUGACAAGACCCAAGAUUUGUUUUACUCUAAAGUGAGAAAUUAUCCUCAACAAAAAAACAUUUCACAGUGAGAAUCAGAAGAAUAUUUGCAUCAGGCAACUCUGGGUGCUAGAUAUUUAUUUUUUUUCUUUUUCACAUGAACUAUAAAAACUUACCACAAAAGACUGAUCUCCACAACUGCUUAUACUCUAGGAUUAUUAUACAUUGCACUGUUCUUGCUGAUACUCCAAAGACAUGUAGAAAAUAGAAAGAGAUUCCAAA
rnacentral:lncRNA from 1 species